UUGCUUAUUCUGCUGAAAUUCAGUUACGUUAUUAGAUAGUCAAAGAAUCUAAUGUGGGACAGAAGUGAGUUAGAAGCAACAUUUGCGUUUCUUUCUCCAUUGGCUUUUCUUAUUCCUUUAAAUCAGUGUUUUUCAAACUUGGCAACUUCAAGGUGUGUGGACUUCAGCUCCCAGAAUUCCCCAGCCAGGAAGGCUGGGAGUUGAAGUUGACACAUCUUAAAGUUGCCAAGUUUGAAAAACACUGAUUUAAAGGAAUCCUUACUACUGAAAUCAGUGAAAAACCUGUUUGAAAACAUAUUACAGUCCAGGAAAUAUGGAAUCUAGCAUUGCUGUGGCCAUACAUCCUUUUCCUCUUUGAGUAUUAGAGUAAGUUUGCCUCAGAGGACACUGUGAAUAGCGAAAGGAGAUUCUAAAGUCAGAUUUCCCCCUCCAAGUUCAAAAUAUUUUCAGCCUCACAAUGGAGGCAGAACCCUUAAGAGAUCAUAGGAUUAGAUUCUUAGGCUCCAUAAAUUGAUCCCCUACUUAAUGUUUAGGACCAUUUAUUUGAAUUGUGUUUCUUAGUCCGAAACUUACAAAGGGAAACAAACACAAAGUUUAAUGUUAAUAAAACUAUUCAUGAAAUCUAAAAAAGUUUAAGAUAUGUUAAUUGCACUGUGAAGGAUUCGUAAAGUAUGCCCACAUCUAAGUUCAUAGUUUUUGCUCCACUCUAAUAAGCAAAUAAGUAAAUUAACUUAGCAGAAGACUGUAACUGGAUUUUUACAUUUCUGAUAAAAUGAAAAAGAGGAGCAGGAGCAGGAGGAGAACACAGUAGAAUGACAGUGAAUCUACCUGCAAUUGGAAAAGAUCUGUCAGUGUUUUCCUUUCUACGUAAUACAUGGGUUGGUUUGGGUGUUCAAUACCAGUCCGUACAAAGGCCUUGUAGCUUUCUGUUUCAAUGGCUUAUUGACAUAAGGUGGAGUUCGGGGCUACUGCCGUGGAGGCAACUUCCUGCCACAGCUUCUAAUAGUCAUAAAUCAGAACAAUAGGGCUGCCCUUUUUGUUCAUAACACUAAGUAUCAGGAGGAAAUUUUUGAAGAACUUCAUAGAAGAAAAUAAAAAUAGCCCUAACCAUCAUAAUAAUUCCUUCUAAUAGUGCUUCAAUUACAUUUUAAAGUUAGUUAGCAGAGAAUUCAUCCGAAGUUCUUCCUUUCUUUCUUUUAUGGAACAAUACCAAGCUAGCCAGUCAUGUGUCAAUACUCAGAAAGUAUAUCAAACCUCUGAAAAUGUAGUAAUUCCAUUUUUUAAAAAGAAAAUUUAUUGUCUGGGUUCACACACCUUUCAAAGCUAUAAUAUGAUUUAUUUGGUUCAGUGUGGUGUGAUAUGUGAAUUCAACCUUUAUAACUUAUAAACUAUGGUUUAUGUUUUAGUGUUGUAUGAACCAGGCUACUGUGAUUUAUUCAACAAAUAACAAACCAUGUAUUAAAAUGAAAUAAGAAACAACUAAGUAUCUCCAUUACAUUUCCUUCCCUUUCCUUCUCCUCAAAUGGCACCAGCAAUGUCCAGAUAUUUUGAAGUUAAAUCAGUUAUCUUAUUUACUCAGGUUUUUUUUUUAAGUCAGAUUGCUCCUCAUACUUCAAAUAAUGGAAAUUAUUUUCAAGUUGCUUUACAUAAACACUACUACACCUUUCAUAUUACAGGGCAAAAGAGAAACGCCAGUUCAUCUGUGGAAUUCAUUUAUUUGGUCAAUAUUGUCCUUUGUGGAAGACACACUGCUUCAUUGUUUUCUAACAACUUCUAGUAAUUCUACCAUGGCCAAUACUUGGCAGAACACCAAGGUGCUGCUUUCCACAAAUGAUCAAAUACAACGACUCCUGGGUGAACAUCCAAGAGAGUGGAAGGAUUAAAACAAAAAGAAUGAAACCUCCUCUGUACGAGCAGGGGAAAAAUUAGAGGAAAAUAGAAUGGAUAUGGAAUUGGAGGAAUCUAACAGAAACAGUGCUAGGAGACAG